rnacentral:lncRNA from 1 species
GGUCACAUUCCAUGAUAAUGUACUCUUACAUCUCACCUACAUGUCAUACCAGUGUCUCCACAUCAUUUAGUUAUGAGGACAACCAAUGCAUAUGGCACACAACGACCUACACUUGAUAUCACUAUCAUCUUAGUAAUAGCAUACCGUUUGAUCAUGAACCAAUUUAAGGACUAUGCGAUAAAUCCUCCUUUAUUGAUGAAAGUAGUCC